rnacentral:rRNA from 1 species
CGGGGGGAGCAAGCGUUGUUCGGAUUUACUGGGCGUAAAGGGCGCGUAGGCGGCGUAACAAGUCACUUGUGAAAUCUCCGGGCUUAACCCGGAGCGGCCAAGUGAUACUGUUGUGCUAGAGUGCAGAAGGGGCAACUGGAAUUCUCGGUGUAGCGGUGAAAUGCGUAGAUAUCGAGAGGAACACCUGCGGCGAAGGCGGGUUGCUGGGCUGACACUGACGCUGAGGCGCGAAAGCCAGGGGAGCGAACGGGAUUAGAUACCCCGGUAGUCCUGGCCUUAAACGAUGGAUACUUGGUGUCCGGGGUUACAUAGUCCCCGGGUGCCGGCGCUAACGCAUUAAGUAUCCCGCCUGGGGAGUACGGUCGCAAGACUG